rnacentral:snoRNA from 14 species
UUAUCAUGAUUAAACCCAAUGAUAUAACAAAUGACUGAGGAUGCAUAUGCAAGACAAAAAUAAAUUUAGGAAUUCUUCGUUUAUGAUUUAUAC